rnacentral:rRNA from 1 species
GGUAGAGCACUGUUUCGGCAAGGGGGUCAUCCCGACUUACCAACCCGAUGCAAACUGCGAAUACCGGAGAAUGUUAUCACGGGAGACACACGGCGGGUGCUAACGUCCGUCGUGAAGAGGGAAACAACCCAGACCGCCAGCUAAGGUCCCAAAGUCAUGGUUAAGUGGGAAACGAUGUGGGAAGGCCCAGACAGCCAGGAUGUUGGCUUAGAAGCAGCCAUCAUUUAAAGAAAGCGUAAUAGCUCACUGGUCGAGUCGGCCUGCGCGGAAGAUGUAACGGGGCUAAACCAUGCACCGAAGCUGCGGCAGCGACGCUUAUGCGUUGUUGGGUAGGGGAGCGUUCUGUAAGCCUGCGAAGGUGUGCUGUGAGGCAUGCUGGAGGUAUCAGAAGUGCGAAUGCUGACAUAAGUAACGAUAAAGCGGGUGAAAAGCCCGCUCGCCGGAAGACCAAGGGUUCCUGUCCAACGUUAAUCGGGGCAGGGUGAGUCGACCCCUAAGGCGAGGCCGAAAGGCGUAGUCGAUGGGAAACAGGUUAAUAUUCCUGUACUUGGUGUUACUGCGAAGGGGGGACGGAGAAGGCUAUGUUGGCCGGGCGACGGUUGUCCCGGUUUAAGCGUGUAGGCUGGUUUUCCAGGCAAAUCCGGAAAAUCAAGGCUGAGGCGUGAUGACGAGGCACUACGGUGCUGAAGCAACAAAUGCCCUGCUUCCAGGAAAAGCCUCUAAGCAUCAGGUAACAUCAAAUCGUACCCCAAACCGACACAGGUGGUCAGGUAGAGAAUACCAAGGCGCUUGAGAGAACUCGGGUGAAGGAACUAGGCAAAAUGGUGCCGUAACUUCGGGAGAAGGC